rnacentral:rRNA from 1 species
UACAGAGGUGGCAAGCGUUGUUCGGAAUUACUGGGCGUAAAGCGUGCGCAGGCGGUUUCACAAGCUCGAUGUGAAAGCCCCGGGCUUAAACCCUGGGGAAUGGCAUUGAGGACUGUGGAGCUCGAGUGCGGCAGAGGGAGGUGGAAUUCCGACGUGUAGCAGUGAAAUGCGUAGAGAUGUGGAGGAACACCGAUGGCGAAGGCAGCCUCCUGGGCCGACACUGACGCUCAUGCACGAAAGCGUGGGGAGCAAACAGG